rnacentral:pre_miRNA from 1 species
GUUGAGAGGAAUGUUGUCUGGCUCGAGGUCAUGAAGGAGAGGAUAUCACUCCAAUUAAUUUGGAAGAACGAAUUAAGAAACCCUAAAUGAUUCUCGGACCAGGCUUCAUUCCCCCUAAC